rnacentral:tRNA from 1 species
GAGUCCGCACCGGCAAGUGUCUCAACAAAGCGCAAGCACUCACAGAUGUCACAGCAGUGAUCGAUACGUUU